UUAAACUCUGAUUCAAAUUUUUUAUCCUUCACAUCAUCCAGUGGCUUCAUACGAAAUUCUUCCAUCAACUCAUCAUCUGUCUCCUCAUGCUUUCCGGACAACCUCCUGUGUAAAAUUUUUUCCAUAAUUGAAGGAAGCACCUCCUCAUCCCCCUUGAAGUACUUAUCCAUUAGCUCUUUCAGCUCUUUGUUACUGACAUCCUCAACCUCGACAGAAUCAUCCUUCUUUUUGAGUUGUGCUAGCAGCGUUGAUUCAGGGGAUGGUGAUGUCGGGUUUUCACCGGACGAGUAAAGCCUGAGCGCGGACCGAGUAAAAUUGGGGAGAGAAGGAUUAGGGAUUUUGGGGCCGGCAUUUGAAGAGGAAUGAAGAACAUUUCGAGUGUAAACAGAGAGAUUUUUUAGCAGAGAUCGUCUCAUGAUGGCACUUGAUUUUGUGUAGGGUUUUAGAUUUGGGGCGUUUCUUGUUUGUGUUUUUA
rnacentral:misc_RNA from 1 species